rnacentral:rRNA from 1 species
GAUGAACGCUGGCGGCGUGCUUAACACAUGCAAGUCGAACGGUGAAGGCGGAGCUUGCUCUGCUGGAUCAGUGGCGAACGGGUGAGUAACACGUGAGCAAUCUGCCCCUGACUCUGGGAUAAGCGCUGGAAACGGCGUCUAAUACUGGAUACGAGCUGCGAAGGCAUCUUCAGCAGCUGGAAAGAACUUCGGUCAGGGAUGAGCUCGCGGCCUACCAGCUUGCUGGUGGGGUAACGGUUCACCCAGGCGUCGAAGGGUAGCCGGCCUGAGAGGGUGACCGGCGACACUGGGACUGAGACACGGCGCAGACGCCUACGGUAGGCAGCAGUGGGGAAUAUUGCACAAUGGGCGAAAGCCUGAUGCAGCGACGCCGCGUGAGGGACGACGGCCUUCUGGUUGUAAACCUCUGUUAGCAGGGAAGAAGCGAAAGUGACGGUACCUACAGAAAAAGCGCUGGCUAACUACGUG